GACGAACGCUGGCGGCGUGCCUAAUACAUGCAAGUCGAGCGGACUUGACAGAGCUUGCUCUGUUCAAGUUAGCGGCGGACGGGUGAGUAACACGUGGGCAAUCUGCCCUGCAGAUUGGGAUAACUCCGGGAAACCGGGGCUAAUACCGAAUAACAUUGGAAACCUCAUGGUUUCCUUUUAAAAGGCGGCUUCGGCUGUCACUGCAGGAUGGGCCCGCGGCGCAUUAGCUAGUUGGUGAGGUAACGGCUCACCAAGGCGACGAUGCGUAGCCGACCUGAGAGGGUGAUCGGCCACACUGGGACUGAGACACGGCCCAGACUCCUACGGGAGGCAGCAGUAGGGAAUCUUCCGCAAUGGACGAAAGUCUGACGGAGCAACGCCGCGUGAGUGAAGAAGGUUUUCGGAUCGUAAAACUCUGUUGUCAGGGAAGAACAAGUAUGGGAGUAACUGCCCGUACCUUGACGGUACCUGGCCAGAAAGCCACGGCUAACUACGUGCCAGCCGCCGCCGUAAGAC
rnacentral:rRNA from 1 species